rnacentral:rRNA from 1 species
AGAACGAACGCUGGCGGCAUGCCUAACACAUGCAAGUCGAACGAGACCUUCGGGUCUAGUGGCGCACGGGUGCGUAACGCGUGGGAAUCUGCCCUUGGGUUCGGAAUAACAGUUAGAAAUGACUGCUAAUACCGGAUGAUGACUUCGGUCCAAAGAUUUAUCGCCCAAGGAUGAGCCCGCGUAAGAUUAGGUAGUUGGUGGGGUAAAGGCCUACCAAGCCGACGAUCUUUAGCUGGUCUGAGAGGAUGAUCAGCCACACUGGGACUGAGACACGGCCCAGACUCCUACGGGAGGCAGCAGUGGGGAAUAUUGGACAAUGGGCGAAAGCCUGAUCCAGCAAUGCCGCGUGAGUGAUGAAGGCCUUAGGGUCGUAAAGCUCUUUUACCCGGGAUGAUAAUGACAGUACCGGGAGAAUAAGCCCCGGCUAACUCCGCGCCAGCAGCCGC